rnacentral:rRNA from 1 species
UGGCUCAGAUCGUUUGCCGUGAAAAAAUUAGAGUGUUCAAAGCAGGCAGAUCCAAUUUUUUGCCACCAAUACAUUAGCAUGGGAUAAUGGAAUAGGACCCUGUCCUCCUAUUUUCAGUUGGUUUGCCGCGAGGACCAGGGUAAUGAUUAAUAGGGAUAGUUGGGGGCAUUAAUAUUUAAUUGUCAGAGGUGAAAUUCUUGGAUUUAUGAAAGAUUAACUUCUGCGAAAGCAUCUGCCAAGGAUGUUUUCAUUAAUCAAGAACGAAAGUUAGGGGAUCGAAGACGAUCAGAUACCGUCGUAGUCUUAACCAUAAACGAUGCCGACCAGCGAUUAGGAGACGUUGAAUACAAAACACCACCAUGCGAUUGCGGUCGUCUUUGGUGGGUCGCUCACAAGGCGGCAUCAUCGGGACGGCUUAGCUCGCAUGGCACCAGUGAAUGACUCCCUACCAGCUUGAGAGAA